rnacentral:rRNA from 1 species
AGUGAACGCUGGCGGUAGGCCUAACACAUGCAAGUCGAACGGCAGCACAGUAAGAGCUUGCUCUUACGGGUGGCGAGUGGCGGACGGGUGAGGAAUACAUCGGAAUCUACUUUUUCGUGGGGGACAACGUAGGGAAACUUACGCUAAUACCGCAUACGACCUACGGGUGAAAGCAGGGGAUCUUCGGACCUUGCGCGAUUGAAUGAGCCGAUGUCGGAUUAGCUAGUUGGCGGGGUAAAGGCCCACCAAGGCGACGAUCCGUAGCUGGUCUGAGAGGAUGAUCAGCCACACUGGAACUGAGACACGGUCCAGACUCCUACGGGAGGCAGCAGUGGGGAAUAUUGGACAAUGGGCGCAAGCCUGAUCCAGCCAUACCGCGUGGGUGAAGAAGGCCUUCGGGUUGUAAAGCCCUUUUGUUGGGAAAGAAAAGCAGCAGGUUAAUACCCCGCUGUUCUGACGGUACCCAAAGAAUAGGCACCGGCUAACUUCGUG